rnacentral:rRNA from 1 species
CAGUAGCCACGGGAAUACGUAGGUGGCAAGCGUUAUCCGGAAUUAUUGGGCGUAAAGCGCGCGUAGGCGGUUUUUUAAGUCUGAUGUGAAAGCCCACGGCUCAACCGUGGAGGGUCAUUGGAAACUGGAAAACUUGAGUGCAGAAGAGGAAAGUGGAAUUCCAUGUGUAGCGGUGAAAUGCGCAGAGAUAUGGAGGAACACCAGUGGCGAAGGCGACUUUCUGGUCUGUAACUGACGCUGAUGUGCGAAAGCGUGGGGAUCAAACAGGAUUAGAUACCCCAGUAGUCCCUGUCUCUUAUAC